GACGAACGCUGGCGGCGUGCUUAACACAUGCAAGUCGAACGGAAAGGCCCUGCUUUUGUUGGGUGCCCGAGUGGCGAAAGGGGGAGGAAAACGUGAGUAAACUGCCCCUGACUUUGGGAUAACGUCAGGAAAAUGGGGCUAAUACCGGAUAGGAGCUCCUGCUGCAUGGGGGGGGGGGGAAAGUGUCGGCGGUUGGGGAUGGACUCGCGGCUUAUCAGCUUGUGGGUGGGGUAGUGGCUUACCAAGGCUUUGACGGGUAGCCGGCCUGGGAGGGUGACCGGCCACAUUGGGACUGAGAUACGGCCCAAACUCCUACGGGAGGCAGCAGUGGGGAAUAUUCCACAAUGGGCGGAAGCCUGAUGCAGCAACGCCGCGUGCGGGAUGACGGCCUUCGGGUUGUAAACCGCUUUCGCCUGUGACGAAGCGUGAGUGACGGUAAUGGGUAAAGAAGCACCGGCUAACUACGUG
rnacentral:rRNA from 1 species